CGAAAGUUAGAGGAUCGAAGGCGAUCAGAUACCGCCCUAGUUCUAACCAUAAACGAUGCCAGCCAGCGAUCCGGCUGUGUUCCUCAAAUGACACGCCGGGCAGCUUCCGGGAAACCAAAGCUUUUGGGUUCCGGGGGAAGUAUGGUUGCAAAGCUGAAACUUAAAGGAAUUGACGGAGGGUCACCACCAGAAAUGGGGCUUGCGGUUCAAUUUGACUCAACGCAGCGAACCCUACCAGGCCAGGACACGGUGAGGAUUGACAGAUUAAGAGCUCUUUCUUGAUUUCGUGGGUAGUGGUGCAUGGCCGCUCUUGGCUCGUGAAGUAAUUUGUCUGCUUUAUUGUGAUAACGGGCGAGGCUCUAGCCUACUAAAUAGACGCUCGGAUCAUUCCCAGUCCGGCGUUUCUUCUUAGAGGGACUGGCGGCGUUUAGCCGCACGAGGCAGAGCAAUAGCAGGUCUGUAAUGCCCUUAGAUGUCCUGGGCCACACGCGUGCCACAUUGAAGGAAUCAUCGUGUGCUUUCCCUUUCCGACAGGAAUGGGUAACCCGUUGAACCUCUUUCGUGCUGGGGAUUGGCGAUUGCAAUUAUCCGCCAUGAACGAGGAAUUCCUAGUAAGCGUGAGUCAUCAUCUCGCGUUGAUUAGGUCCCUGGCCCUUGUCCACACCGCCCGUCGCUAUUACCGAUUGAAUGUCUUAGUGAGGACUUCGGAUUGGCUGUCGAUUUGGCUUUCGGGUCGAGCCGACGUGCCGAAAAGAUGCCCGAACUUGGUCAUUUAGAGGAAAUAAAAGUCGUAACAAGG
rnacentral:rRNA from 1 species